AUGGGGAGAAUGGAAGGCGUGUGGGGGAAAGACUGCCUGGAGUAUAACCCGGAUAGAUGGCUCUCAGAGGAUGGUAAGAAGCUGCGGUACGUGCCGUCUCACAAAUUUUUGUCAUUCAGCUCGGGCGCGAGGCUGUGCCUUGGCAAGGACAUCUCAUUUAUGCAGAUGAAUACAAUUGUUGCCGCAAUGGUCUGGAACUUCGACGUGGAGGUGGUUGAAGGGCAGAAAGUCCAGCCUAAGAUGUCUUGUGUGCUGCAGAUGAAAAGUAGACUCAUGGUCAAGUUGAAGAAGCGAGUAAUGUAA
rnacentral:rRNA from 1 species